AGCAUCCUGGCGUAUUCGCGAGGUAGUGAGUCCUCGAGCCGAUAAUGCAACACCAGGGGACCACCGAGCAUCGUUGUUGUGCAGGUCCGUCUCGAUCGGAAAGCCUGAUACGGUGUGGCGGUCACCCACCUUGAGCCUCAGGGUUCAAGGGCGAAACUACCAGCGGUACGUCGGGUGUUUU
rnacentral:other from 1 species